UACAGAGGUCCCAAGCGUUACUGAGAAUCACUGGGCUUAAAGCGUGUGUAGGUGGAUCGUUAAGUACCUUGUGAAAUCCCACGGCUUAACCGUGGAACUGCUUGGUAUACUGGCGGUCUUGAGCCAGCUAGGGGCUACCGGAACAAAUGGUGGAGCGGUGAAAUGCGUAGAUAUCAUUUGGAACGCCAAUGGUGAAAACAGGUAGCUGGAGCUGUGCUGACACUGAGACACGAAAGCCAGGGGAGCAAACGGG
rnacentral:rRNA from 1 species